rnacentral:rRNA from 2 species
ACUACAAUCAGGCGUCCGCGGGUACUACGAGCAUUAGCUUGAAACCCAAAGGACCUGACGGUGCCUCAGACCCCCCUAGAGGAGCCUGUUCUAGAACCGAUAACCCCGUUAAACCUCACCGCUUCUAGCCAUCCCAGCUAUAUACCGCCGUCGUCAGCUUACCCUGUGAAGCAAUAAAAGUAAGCAGAAUGGGACAACCCAGAACGUCAGGUCGAGGUGUAGCGUACGAAGCGGGAAGAAAUGGGCUACAUUUCUAUAAUAGAAUACUACGGACAUGGCAACAUGAAAUAGUGCUUGAAGGAGGAUUAGUAGUAAAGGAAGCAGCGUGUCCUUUGACGGCUCUAGACGCGUACACACCGCCGUCACUCUCCCCUGUCGAAAUGCAGUAAAGUUACCUAACACCAAAGCUCUGACAAGGGGAGGCAGUCGUAACAUGGUAAGUGUACCGGAAGUGCACUUGGAUAAAAUUC